GAAUGCUGACAUGAGUAACGACAAAGGGGGUGAAAAACCUCCUCGCCGGAAGACCAAGGGUUCCUGUCCAACGUUAAUCGGGGCAGGGUGAGUCGACCCCUAAGGUGAGGCCGAAAGGCGUAAUCGAUGGGAAACGGGUUAAUAUUCCCGUACUUCUGACUAUUGCGAUGGGGGGACGGAGAAGGCUAGGUGGGCCAGGCGACGGUUGUCCUGGUUCAAGUGCGUAGGCUUGAGAGUUAGGUAAAUCCGGCUCUCUCUAAGGCUGAGACACGACGUCGAGCUGCUACGGCAGUGAAGUCAUUGAUGCCAUGCUUCCAGGAAAAGCCUCUAAGCUUCAGAUAGUCAGGAAUCGUACCCCAAACCGACACAGGUGGUCGGGUAGAGAAUACCAAGGCGCUUGAGAGAACUCGGGUGAAGGAACUAGGCAAAAUGGUACCGUAACUUCGGGAGAAGGUAC
rnacentral:rRNA from 1 species